UUGAAGCCUGAAAAAGUUCUGAAAAAAUAACUAAGGUAAGUGUGGGAAAGGGGGGGGGCGGAAAAUGUGGAAUGCGCGCCAGGCAUAGUUUGGCCCAGCUACGCCUCUGGGCUGAUGCCACGUUUUAAAGUCUCACUGUAUCUGCUUUAGUUGACCAACACCAUGGUGGACAGAAAGAAACUUUAAAACCCACAACUAGCUACACUAAUCUUGUCUGUUGAAGAGGAAAGGUGUGUGUUUUUCAGGAAGAAACUGUAAUAGAUUUAGUGUAUUCAUCUUAUCAAUAGCUUCAGCGUGUCCUACAGACUUGUGAGGUUAUUGGAAUCAUUGCUGCAUAUAUCUGGUGCUGGAAUGUUGUCUGAAGCGAGUUUGUAAGUUUGUGAAACAAUUUAAUGUUCCAGUUUUUUAUUCCAAAAAGGACUGUUUUGGAAAGUCAUAAUCUUUGUUUUAAUGUGUUGUUGGGGACUAUGAGACUGUAAACCUGGGCUGAUUCUCAUGGCAGUCCCCAGCCUUACAGAAUUCCAAAGAUCAGGAAAGGUUUUAGAGUUAAGAAUGGUAGCUGUGGUUUGCAGGCAGCAACUGGGAAGUGGUUGAAGCCACGUGGAUUGCCACUUUGUUUAUGACAGCAUGGAUGUGUCUGCCGAGCUUUCCCAGAGACCUCUGGAUCUUGCAGAGUGGAGGGUGUAGGAGCUCUUGGCGAGGCUCUUAACCAAUGACCAAGGCUUUCAGCUCAUUCCAAAAAUAGUGCAAUUGGCACUGAAAGUGUCUAGCUUGUCAGUUCUGCGGGAAUUGUUAUCAAUGUAAGAUUUUUGUCCAACAUAAGAACAUAAGAACAAGCCUGCUGGAUCAGACCAGAGUCCAUCUAGUCCAGCACUCUGCUACUCGCAGUGGCCCACCAGGUGCCUUUGGGAGCUCACAACAGUCCUCUGAAUGGUGGAUCAGUGGGGUAAAGUAUAUCAAUGGGAUUAGGAAUAACAACAAGGCAUUCUUCCUUUAAGUCUGCCAUGGAACUGUAUAAGCCAGAUUCUGUACAUUUGUUACUGUAAGAUCUACGUAAGUAACUAAACACAGCCAUAAUUAUUUGUGCGUGCCUUUGUGUUUAUGCAUCCAUGUUGUGUAUAACACUGUUCUAGUCCAUGUGAAGAGUAGCAAAUACAAACCUACAAAUGGAUAGGAGAUUUUAUAGCAGUUAUUUUUGUAUUCAGUGAUGGAAAAUAGAUGGCUCAAAAUGUUUACAGAUUCUUAGGAUGCAAUCAUAUGCAGAGUUAGUGCCACUAAGGCUAUGGAUUUCAAUGUGCUUAAUUCUGCACAGGAUUAGUUUUCUUAAAUAUUUAUAAGAUAUGGUUUAAAGACAGGGCAAGUUUGACAUUUGACACCUAAGAUUUCAUAUAGGUUUUUAGUCUGUUGUUUACCAUAUUGUCUAAUGUGAUUUUUUUUUAGAGAAAAGGAUAAUAUGUCUAUUUUCCCAAUGUGAAAUUAGUACUGAAUUCUUUCCUAAAACCAUCUAAUUUCUAUCCCUGAUAAGCACUUUGACAUUGUUUUCUACUACAAAUUGAAAAGCUAAAGAAAAUCUACCAAGUUUUUCAAAUGUGAACAAUAUAUAUUAUUUGCAAGUAAAUGAACCAGUAGUGUUUCAUAAUGCUUCUUCAGGAUAUUCCAGUUUACCCCUUUCUGAAGGAAGUGACUGUUUUAACGUAUUCCUCAUGUACCUUCAGCAUAUUUUGAAUAAGCACUUUAAAAAUCAGUAUCCUUUUUAAAAAGAGUGUUUGUAGACUUUGUUUCAAUAGAAUUCAGAAAGGUGUUAUUGACGAAACAUGCUGGGCCAAAUCAUGAAGUCCCGCUGCACAAACGAAAAUAAUCCCUGGAACAACCACAGUCUGGCAGUUUUAAGCCCCAUUGAGUUGGAUGGAACCAUGAAGUGCACAUGUACAUAUUUUCCAAUGAAAUAGCUGGAAUUUACGAGGACAUAACCAGAGCUCUAUGUAUUUAAAUGUACACAGCAAGAUCCAAUGUUUGAGGUGCUGUAUAAACUGAGUAGUGUUUUAAAUUGGGUGUGAUGGCACCACCACUGAAAAAACCCAUGUGUUUGAUAAAAAAUUGAGUGGUUUUAUAAUGAGACUUUUAUACCAUGAAUAUAGCCUAGAAAAGGGUUGUCUUCUGUUCAUUUUUCCAUAGCUGAAAUGGGUCUCAGUCCAUUCCCUGGGCCUAGGAGUUACUUUACACAUUCAGCCAUUGCCUGCCAGGUCCUGGUUUGAGCAUGACCAUAACCCCAGGUUUUUGUGACGCCUUCAUGCGCCUUCUUCCUGGGCAUUUCUGAGCAUUGUGGGUGGGCUGAUCCAAGAUUAAUUUGGGUCAUUGGGAAGUGUGUUUAAUGGCAGAAUUUUGGACCAAGCUGAAUAGUGAAUCCUUUCUAAAUCCUUUCUGGGCAUGUAUAUGGUGAGAAAAUGUACUUCCCCAAUAGCUAUAAUUUUUUUAAAGUGUAUCUUUAAGCCUAGAUCCUUUCUUAGAUCAGUACCUGUGUAUUUAGAGCAGGGUUGGACACCCCUGAUUUAGAAUAUACCCAUCACCAAUCAUUCACUUAAUAAUUAACUCAUACUUGGGAGACAUUAAAAAUCUCUGGGACAGUUUGACUCUCAAUAAGCCUCUCUGGUGUGAACAAACCUUAAAAGCCAAUCCUGACUGAGAGUAGCCAUGCAAAAUAUUGACUCUAAAGCAAACAGAAAAAUACAUCACAUGGUGAUUUUAAUUAUUCUUUUUUCCUGGUGUUGGUCAAUGGAUCAUUUUGUCCAUUUGUGGACUUGCACAUCCUGCUAGCCUCAGUGGAAAUCAAAGCCAGUCCCCAAACUCUGGCAAGAGACAGCCACUGAGCCUGGGGACUUCUGACCUCAGCAAGCAUCUGGAAUUGUUUGUAAUUAUCAAGUAACCAUAUGCUGACAUAUAUUUAUCAAAGACAUUCUGAAAAUUGAUGCCGACAUCAGUUAAAUGCCAUUUGGGCCCACUGAACAGCGAUCUUCUGUCACAGUGAGUCUCUUGGAACACUUUUAGACACUCCCUUUUCUACUUGCCUUUCUCAGUUUUCUAGUUUUUGCAUGAUAGGGAUUAAUUGUAGCCAUUGGGCAGCAGCAUGUUUCUAUCUAAUGGAUAUUUUUUAAAGUGUGGUAGAUGUUCUUCUCUUUGAGUCCUUACCAAGGUAUUUCCCUGUGCACAAGUGCAUGUAGUUAUAUUUGUAAUGGUUCAGGGAAGUAAGAAGCAGGUCUGUGGAGGCAACUUGGGCCUAGCUAUAGAAACACCAAAUCAAGGGCCAGGCUUUGAGCUCUAGCUUGUUCUUUGAGCGUGGACAAUCUGAGCAUUCUGUGCCUCCAUUUUCCCAUUUGGGAAAUGAUGAUCGUGCACCUCCCGGUUUACAAAACACACCCUGGAGGUACCCAAAUGGCAAAUGUGAUGAGAUCAAUGAACCGUUUUCCUGUGUUGAAUUGUAGAUUGGGGUAUUCAACCUUUGUGAGCUUAUUUGGAAUUCGGACACAGCAUGGUGGGUACAGCCACAGAGUGACUGCUGCAGGAGGCAGAGCCAGCCACAAAAUGGCUGCCAAAGCUUACCCUCAGUCACGCAUAGUGAAGAUCUUUGUGUUGUGCUGGCAGCUGCUGCCAAAGCAACAUUUUCAAAAAUCUGCACAGCCAAUCAGAAGCCCCCCCCCCCCCCCCCGGCCCUGGCCCCAGCCUAAAGACACUUGGCAGGUGACAGAACAAGUGUCCAUCAUGGUGCUCACAGGCACUAUGUUGGAGACCCCUGCGGUAGAUCAUGUUGGGGCAGAUAAUGUGUAAAUUGCCCAUGCAUGUUCACCGAUUCUCACGAUUAAAGUCCUCUUCGGCAUGUUGAUGCUGGCCCCAUGAGAACAUGCCAAAGGUUGUCUUGGACCAGCAAGAUGCUGUUCUGCAUGCUAUGAAAGGGUCAUGUUUUGAAAUGCCUGACAUACUUGGCGGUAGAAUCUGUUGAGCAGAGGAUGUUAUUAAGUUUGGGUUAUAUUUAUUUGUAAUCUUCGUUAAGAAGCGAGAGUUUUGACCGUUUACAUUCUGUUUACAAUGGCACAGGUUUAUUUUUUAAUAUAUACAGCAACUGAGGUAUUUAUUGCAUAUAAUAUUUUGAGAGACAUUCUAUGUGGUUUUUUUUGCACCUUUGGAAUAUAUUUCUGUGUACAGGAUAUUUGGAUGGCUCUGUCAAGAGUAAUUUUAUGAUUCCUAAGUGACGAGUUUUUUGUGCCUUUUUAUCAUUGGAUGCAUGAUUACCUAUUUAUUGUACGGAAGUCACAGAUGUGUAUUUUGUAUGUUGCUGGAAGGCACUGUUGAUUUCAUUGAUGUUCAUGAGAGAUGCCUCUCUUGGAGGACAUUGCUUGAUCUUCCUUCCAAAAUAAACAGAUGCAUACCAUCUCAUUCAGUA